rnacentral:rRNA from 1 species
CUUAAAUUGAAGAGUUUGAUCAUGGCUCAGAUUGAACGCUGGCGGCAGGCCUAACACAUGCAAGUCGAGCGGAAACGAGUUAUCU